AAUCUGGGUCUGAUGCAAAGCCUGCUAAAGUCAAUGGGAGUCUUUCCAUUGACUUUAAUGGACUUUGGAUCAGGCCCAUAAU
rnacentral:pre_miRNA from 1 species